AUGACGCACAGUGCUGGCGCAAGUCGUCUUGCGCCAGGCGACUGGGUCUGAGGAGGCAGGAGUUAUUCAUUCCCUUAAGCUUUCAGGCCGGGGGGAGAAUCUUUCAGGUGGUAGCUGCAAGAACUCUUAGUAUGUUGACCUCACCUCUGCCUUCCACAUACCACUACCAGUGAGGAAUUAGGAAUGCAUGAGAAGAGUGUCCAAGAAGAGUGUCCUCAUUCAUGCAAGGCUUAAGAGAGAAUGCAGGUCAACAUCACCAUGUCAAUCAGAGGUGCAGAUGCUGAGAGCACUUUCUAGUCAAGUCCUGCAUGUUCAUUUCUGUCUCAAGUCAGCUUCUCUGAGAAUCCAAUUUAUAAAAAUAUAUUUGUGAAUGUAUAAGUAAAGUGACUUGGAUUUUGUCUACGUACAAGGACUUCUAUGCCUGCAUAAAACAGGAAAGAGAUCUUCAUGUAAACAGAGUCCCUCUUAUUGGCUGAAGUGAAGAGUCAUUCUGAGGAGGAUCUGAAAAUGUAGAGGUGAGACGCUAAUGGCAGAGUGGCCUCAGCUUUCACCAGGUUUUGAAAACAUCUGUGAGGGAGGCACCAAAUUCACUGUCCUGCAGCUUUGACUUCCCAAUCCUCGUUGCCUCGUGCUGCCAGCCUGUAUGCUGGUAGAAGUGUGUUCCUGGGAACAUCCUGGCAUCUUGUGUUAGGACUACACUGGUGCAUGGGACAGAUCACGCUCAAGAAGGUCGAUGUAAUUUGAAAAACAGAUGGGCUCUGCUUUGUGAAAACUCCAAGCAUAUGAAGUCUAACUUGAAUAAAAGGCAUCUCAAGAUGAAGGUUUCCUAUUUGUGAUUAUGAAAAAAAUGUCAAGAACAAGUCCCUUGGUGUUCUUAGACCAAAGUCAGAACAACAGACCUAGUAUUUGUCUGGGGCUGGCUGUGCACCCAGAAGGCCAUUCGUUCCAUGAAGAACAUGACAGAGGUACCUGGUCCUACCUGGAUUCUUGGGCAUGCGGGCAGCAGCAGCAGCAGCAGCCACAGUGAACUUCAUCCUAAGGAAAUUAAGCACACGUUGCGUGAGGCUGCUGUGGGGGUGCCAGGUGCUGAGGUUUCUGUAGUGGAUAAAACACAAAAAUACCAGCCCUCAUGGUGAAAAUGGAAUGACAAUAAACAAGAUAAAUUAGAUCUAUGCAACAAAACCAAGCCUUUGUGCACAUCUGUGGUUGUGACCAGUUGGAGAGACAUUAGGAGAUGAGAUACUAUGUUCACUCCUCACAGCUGUACCAGGGACCUGAGAUAUUCCGUCACUAUUCUAUGAGAUUUUGGAGAUCCCACCAGUGGUUUUCCGGUGCCAGGGUAUGAGAAGAUAGUCUCCAUGUCCAAACUCACAAUUUCAGAACAAAUUUCAUCAAGAUAAAGGCCUGGGCUGGUGAAUGGUUCCUGCUUUCACUAUUCCAGAUGUCCAGCUCUGUACCUUGCUGCUCUCCUUAAAGCCUGCCUCCCUCUAGGCCUUGAUUGUCCUCAGAUGGAAAUGGGGAUG
rnacentral:lncRNA from 1 species